UACGUAGGGUGCAAGCGUUAAUCGGAAUUACUGGGCGUAAAGCGUGCGCAGGCGGUGAUGUAAGACAGAUGUGAAAUCCCCGGGCUCAACCUGGGAACUGCAUUUGUGACUGCAUCGCUGGAGUGCGGCAGAGGGGGAUGGAAUUCCGCAUGUAGCAGUGAAAUGCGUAGAUAUGCGGAGGAACACCGAUGGCGAAGGCAAUCCCCUGGGCCUGCACUGACGCUCAUGCACGAAAGCGUUGGGAGCAAACAGG
rnacentral:rRNA from 1 species